AUUGAACGCUGGCGGCAUGCCUUACACAUGCAAGUCGAACGGUAACAGGUCUUCGGAUGCUGACGAGUGGCGAACGGGUGAGUAAUACAUCGGAACGUGCCCGAUCGUGGGGGAUAACGGAGCGAAAGCUUUGCUAAUACCGCAUACGAUCUACGGAUGAAAGCAGGGGACCGCAAGGCCUUUGCGCGGACGGAGCGGCCGAUGGCAGAUUAGGUAGUUGGUGGGAUAAAAGCUUACCAAGCCGACGAUCUGUAGCUGGUCUGAGAGGACGACCAGCCACACUGGGACUGAGACACGGCCCAGACUCCUACGGGAGGCAGCAGUGGGGAAUUUUGGACAAUGGCGGAAAGACCUGAUCCAGCCAUGCGCGUGC
rnacentral:rRNA from 1 species